UACGCGAGCUGGGUUCAGAACGUCGUGAGACAGUUCGGUCCCUAUCCGUCGUGGGCGUAGGAAAUUUGAGAGGAGCUGUCCUUAGUACGAGAGGACCGGGAUGGACAUACCUCUGGUGUACCAGUUGUCGUGCCAACGGCAUAGCUGGGUAGCUAUGUGUGGACGGGAUAAGUGCUGAAAGCAUCUAAGCAUGAAGCCCCCCUCAAGAUGAGAUUUCCCAACUUCGGUUAUAAGAUCCCUCAAAGAUGAUGAGGUUAAUAGGUUCGAGGUGGAAGCAUGGUGACAUGUGGAGCUGACGAAUACUAA
rnacentral:rRNA from 1 species